ACAAUGAAGCUGAACCAGGUGCACAGACAAGACCCAUUGAACUUUCAGGCACUCGUGAGCAGAUAAGCAAAGCUGAGCAGCUGAUCAAAAAAGUUCUAGUAGAGGUAUUACUUGUUACAACCACAACUUUUGUUCUGCAUUUCUUUUUGCAUAUAUGCUGUUGAUCUUGCAAUCUUCUGUGGGCUGAUGCUGGGUCAUCUGGUACUGGAUCUAGUGGCCAGAAAUAUAAUGCACAACAGCCAGGUGCCGACACGUUCUAGAUGAAAAUUGCUAAUAACAAGGUGGGUCUGGUUAUUGGUAAGGUUGGUGAGACUAUAAAGUCCAUGCAACCCAAAUCUGGAGCUCGUAUUCAGAUUUGUAAUCUUGUUUUACAGCAUAUUGGCAGCUGGUGAUUGAGGUUACCAAUGUCUGAAGCAUAUUGGCCGUGGGUACAGCCUCGGCAUGGCUAUGGCAUGGAAGGAGAUUUUCAUAUGCCUUUCCUGUUUCUGAACAUAACUUCAUAAUAGGUUUUGGGCAAGGUUUAAGACUUAAAUAUACCAUAACAUGAAUAAACAUAUUUCCAAACUGCUUCAUUAUCUUAGCAACUUUGUUCAGCCCAUUGUAUGGCUUUUCACAGAACAGUAGUUCAAGCUUUGAGAAGUCAUUCUUUGUAAUUCAUAUCGUUCAUUUCACA